GGCCUGCGGCGUAUCAGGUCGUAGGGGGUGUAACGUACCCUCUAGCCAUCGACGCGUACGGGUGUUGGGAGACAUAGCCCGGAGAUGGAUUCUGAGACACGAAUCCAGACCCUACGGGGUGCAGCAGGCGCGAAAACUUGGCAAUGCGAGAAAUCGUGACCAGGGAACUCCAAGUGGCUGGGGUAAGACCCAGUCUUUUCUUGACUCUUCAAAGGUCUUGGAAUAAGGGGUGGGUAAGGACGGUGCCAGCCGCCGCGGUAAUACCGGCGCCUCAAGUGGUAGUCGAUUUUAUUGGGCCUAAAACGUCCGUAGCCUGUUUGGUACAUUCGUGGGUAAAUCAACCAGCUCAACUGAUUGAAUUCUGCGAGCACGGCCAGACUUGGGACCGGGAGAGGUGUGGGGUACGCUCAGGGUAGGGGUAAAAUCCUGUCAUCCUGAGCGGACCACCUGUUGCGAAGGCGCCACACUAGAACGGAUCCGACGGUCAGGGACGAAGCCUAGGGGCACGAACCGGAUUAGAUACCCGGGUAGUCCUAGGUGUAAACGCUGUGGACUUGGUGUUGGGGACUCUCCGAGAUUCCUCAGUGCCGAAGCGAAGGUGAUAAGUCCACUGCCUGGGGAGCACGGUCGCAAGGCUGAAACUUAAAGGAAUUGGCGGGGGAGCACCGCAACCUGAGGAUUGUGCGGUUUAAUUGGAGUCA
rnacentral:rRNA from 1 species